rnacentral:rRNA from 1 species
UACGGAGGGUCCAAGCGUUAUCCGGAUUUAUUGGGUUUAAAGGGUGCGUAGGCGGUUCAGCCAGUCAGGGGUGAAAUCCCGGGGCUCAACCCCGGAACUGCCCUUGAUACUGCUGGUCUGGAGUACGAGAGAGGCGAGUGGAAUUCCGAGUGUAGAGGUGAAAUUCGUAGAUAUUCGGAGGAACACCAGUGGCGAAGGCGGCUCGCUGGCUCGACACUGACGCUGAGGUGCGAAAGCAUGGGGAGCAAACAGGAUUAGAUACCCCGGUAGUCCCUGA